UGGAUCCAGACUUUGAUCAUGGCUCAGGAUGAACGCUAGCUACAGGCUUAACACAUGCAAGUCGAGGGGCAGCAUGAACUUAGCUUGCUGAGUUUGAUGGCGACCGGCGCACGGGUGAGUAACACGUAUCCAACCUUCCGUUUACUCAGGGAUAGCCUUUCGAAAGAAAGAUUAAUACCUGAUAGUAUGGUGAGAUUGCAUGAUAGCACCAUUAAAGAUUUAUUGGUAAACGAUGGGGAUGCGUUCCAUUAGGUAGUAGGCGGGGUAACGGCCCACCUAGCCGACGAUGGAUAGGGGUUCUGAGAGGAAGGUCCCCCACAUUGGAACUGAGACACGGUCCAAACUCCUACGGGAGGCAGCAGUGAGGAAUAUUGGUCAAUGGGCGAGAGCCUGAACCAGCCAAGUAGCGUGAAGGAUGAAGGUCCUACGGAUUGUAAACUUCUUUUAUACGGGAAUAAAGUAUCCUACGUGUAGGAUUUUGUAUGUACCGUAUGAAUAAGCAUCGGCUAACUCCGUGCCAGCAGCCGCGGUAAUACGGAGGAUGCGAGCGUUAUCCGGAUUUAUUGGGUUUAAAGGGAGCGCAGACGGGAGAUUAAGUCAGUUGUGAAAGUUUGCGGCUCAACCGUAAAAUUGCAGUUGAUACUGGUUUCCUUGAGUGCAGUUGAGGCAGGCGGAAUUCGUGGUGUAGCGGUGAAAUGCUUAGAUAUCACGAAGAACCCCGAUUGCGAAGGCAGCUUGCUAAACUGUAACUGACGUUCAUGCUCGAAAGUGUGGGUAUCAAACAGGAUUAGAUACCCUGGUAGUCCACACGGUAAACGAUGGAUACUCGCUGUUGGCGAUAUACUGUCAGCGGCCAAGCGAAAGCAUUAAGUAUCCCACCUGGGGAGUACGCCGGCAACGGUGCAACUCAAAUGAAUUGACGGA
rnacentral:rRNA from 1 species